GGUUUCGUGGCCCAAUGGCAAGGCGUCUGACUACGAUGGAAGUUCACGCUUCUCUAGUGAUCAGGAGAUUCUGGGUUCGACCCCCAGCGAGAUCA